rnacentral:tRNA from 1 species
UCCCCGGUGGUCCAGUGGUUAAGACUCCACACUUCCACUGUAGGGGCAUGGGUUCGAUCCCUGGUUGGGGAG